AGAGUUUGAUCCUGGCUCAGAAUGAACGUUGGCGGCGUGGAUUAGGCAUGCAAGUCGUACGCACAGCUUCGGCUGUGAGUGGCGCAAGGGUGAGUAAUGCGAAGGUAACCAACCCUGGAGUUGGGCAGUAACCGCGGGAAACUGCGGGUAAUUCCCAGCGAUGUCGCGAGAUGGCAUCAUCUUGCGACCAAAGGUGUGAUUCCGCUCUAGGACGGGCCUUCGUGGUAUUAGGUAGUUGGUGAGGUAACGGCUCACCAAGCCGACGAUGCCUACCGGGUGUGAGAGCAUGACCCGGCACACUGGAACUGAGACACUGUCCAGACACCUACGGGUGGCUGCAGUCGAGAAUCUUCGGCAAUGGGCGAAAGCCUGACCGAGCGACGCCGCGUGAGGGAAGAAGGCCUUCGGGUUGUAAACCUCUUUCGUAGAGGAGGAAGGGGCCGUGCAGAGCGGUCUUUGACCUAUUCUAGGAAGAAGCUUGGGCUAAGUUCGUG
rnacentral:rRNA from 1 species